rnacentral:rRNA from 1 species
GGGGAAUAUUGGACAAUGGGGGGAACCCUGAUCCAGCCAUGCCGCGUGUGUGAAGAAGGCCUUUUGGUUGUAAAGCACUUUAAGCGAGGAGGAGGCUACUGGUACUAAUACUACCAGCUAGUGGACGUUACUCGCAGAAUAAGCACCGGCUAACUCUGUGCCAGCAGCCGCGGUAAUACAGAGGGUGCGCGCGUUAAUCGGAUUUACUGGGCGUAAAGCGUGCGUAGGCGGCUGAUUAAGUCGGAUGUGAAAUCCCCGAGCUUAACUUGGGAAUUGCAUUCGAUACUGGUCAGCUAGAGUAUGGGAGAGGAUGGUAGAAUUCCAGGUGUAGCGGUGAAAUGCGUAGAGAUCUGGAGGAAUACCGAUGGCGAAGGCAGCCAUCUGGCCUAAUACUGACGCUGAGGUACGAAAGCAUGGGGAGCAAAC